rnacentral:snoRNA from 1 species
UGGACCAACAAUGAGAGUUUGUCAUGAUCCAAGGUCAUGAUUAAUCCAGCCUGCACACCCAAGAUCCAUG